UGUCUCCUCCAUGUCUCAACCGAUAUGGAUUCAAGCCCGCUCAACUGAAGCGGGCUUUUUUUU
rfam:Burkholderia peredens type strain LMG 29314 genome assembly, contig: contig000027